GUUUGUUGCUAUACCACCCUGAACGUGCCUGAUGUUGUCUGAUCUCAGAAGCUAAGCAGGGUUGGGCCUGGUUAGUACUUGGAGGUGAGACCACCUGAAAAUACUAUGGUGUUAUAGUCU
rnacentral:rRNA from 1 species